GCUUGGGUUUAGUGCCAUUUGGCAAUUUAUUCAUCUAGAGCGACUGUGAACAGUUGUGUGGGUUUUGUUAAUAUGCUGAGACAGCGACUUGUCACUCCCGGAAGUUGUCACUGUUAUGUUUUUCAUGUGUGGAGGUUCAUGGCUGAGGAACAUCCAGGAAAAGCCUGCUAACAAUGAGAUGUAGCACAGGGCAUGAACCCGUGAAACACAAGUAUUCCAUGUUGUGUUAUUGUAUGCUUUGAAAGAAACAGCCUCAGCAGAGAAAGAGGGUGAGAUGUUUGACAGUGGGUCGAUAGUUUGCGAAGAAGACUUCUUUUGCUUGACAAAUUUAUUUCUUUUUGUUUGAAUUAUCAGACCGCCUGGAACAUCGACCAACACUUUUGAAAUGCACUAGGGAAUCAGCUAUGGAAGCCAUAAUGCUGUUUCUUUAAAUAACUAGGUAUGUGAUUCAUCAUUACAUUUUACAGACUGGUAAUGUUUGUGCUUUGAAUAAUUAUUUUUAUGGUGCACUGAGUAUUUAGGAAUAUAUUAUGAUCCAUUCAAAAGAGCAUGUUUGUCUUUUAUGAUCAACAGAUAUUUCACUUCCAAGUGUCCAGGUUUUUCCAUCUCUGAAGGAACACAUUUUCCUCACAUACAAAGAGAUUGAGAUCUACACAAAGCAUCUUCGUAGGUGUGACAUCAGAAUAUCCUCAUGACACCUACAGUGUUUUCAUAAAAGCGCGGUUCAGAACUUGUUUUAUAUAUGAAUAGAACUUGUCAUUUAGCUCUUGGUUUCAUCACUGUUGUACUCCCUGCACACUUGGCUUGGUAGUACAUAAGUUCCACCUAAAGCUCCAGGAGUUAUGCAGCCUGUGUGAUAUCAAAGCCCUUGUAACAGCUGUUUCAGAAACAGUCUGAUUAGGCCGUCAAGUAGCUUAAAAAAUCAUAAGUGCAGCAGGGUCUGGCUUUUGAGGUCUGUUGCCUCAGGGGGUAACAACCACAGCUUCUUUGCUGUGAGGACAGUGACCUGGGGAUUUUUCAAGGUUGUUUUUUGUCAUUUUUUGCCUUUUCAGCUACAAAAGGAAAAGCUGAAGAUGCAUAAGACAUUACCUCUUUUUGUUCUGUUGUUGACAGGAUAUCUUUGUAUUGAUAGGCAUGUUGCUGCAGAAGGCACAAUUUCAUCACCAACUCCUGACUUUUCAUCAAGUCCCUUACCUCCUUCCGAAGUCACAGAAGCUCCCGAACCAGAAACAAAACCAAAUGCGAACAAUCACACUUCAGCGUGGCAGGAUCUGAAGAAAGCUGCUCUUCUCACUUGGACUGAGUUCUGCUAAUUAUAAAUAAAUGUAAAUAUGCAGCGCUCUAAAUAUAUGAGACUGGUCCAGCACAUAAGGUACAAAGAGACCGAGCACCCGUGAAGGAGGAUAAACAGAAAUCAGCAUGAGACUCUAUGUCAAUUCUCUUAGGUAGGUUGGCACCUUCAAUACAUAUACUGCUGCUUAAAUAACUUUUUUCCUUACCUAAGUUUUGAACUUUUAACUUCUUUUUCUGCAAUUGAUUAUAAAAACCAAAAGCCAUGUAUGAACUUGCCUACAUUAGCCUGAAAACCUCUGUUUUUGUAAAGGAAUAUUAAAGAUACUCCCUAAUUGCUAAUCAUGAUAUUUCUCUGGUGGUUUGAGUAAUAAGAAUAUGACUUUGCUAGACUAAUCCAUAGUAAUUUCCUUUCUUAUUACCAUAAUUAGUGUUGGGGUUGUUUUCUUUCAGUGAAAUCUGUAGCACCAAUAAUACUGUAAGCAGUAGUAGCUGUUGCUAUACUGAGGAUGGAAAUGAAUAUAGCACAUACUUUGCACUGCCAAAAAAUUAUUGUCUGUAAUGAUUUCAAAUAUGCUUGGUUCAUACGAAUUCAGACUUGAAAAAUAAAGACCGAGAUUUUACUGUUGCAUUUAACCAUUUUAUGCUGCAUCAUUAUCCAUCACAAAUGUAGGUUUGUUGGGUUUUUUUCUUUCCUUAGUGGCUUUGAGUCAUGAGUAUCUUUCUUUUAGAUUUUCUAGAGCCAGGACUCACCAUAUUAGUGCUUUUAAUUAUUUGGGCGUGUGCACGUAAGUAAUCAAAGGGAAGUUUGGCUCAAAUUAAUUCUUCCCUUUCUGGUGAAGUGGAGUGUCCUUAGAAAAAAUUUCAAUACACGAGAAAUGAAGCGAGCGGCCUUUUCAAAGAACAUUGCCAUGAUCACAGGGGAGCCAUCGCAUGACCCUUUGGUCUGUGCACCCGUACAGCAGAACCACACAUGUUUAAAACUAGUUUUGAAUGAUGUAUUUGAUAUACCUACUCUUGUUGACAAUUAUUAAUGGCAUUUAAUCAAAGGUGGCCACUGCAAGCUUUCAUUUACUCACUGUGCUUUGUUUUCUGAUGCUUUGUAGCUGUUGCAAAGGCCAGUUGCUUGGAUAUAAGGCUUCUUGCUUAAAGGUUAUGGUGGUGCUUUAGACUGGAGCAGUCAUUGACCUUAGACCAAGCUUUUGCAUCUUCACUGGGUGGAUGUAGAACUCACUUGCACAAUGUAAAUUCAUAUCCUGAACCGUAGCUCUGUGAGGCUGUGUAAAUUAAUUGGUGUGAAAAUCAGUGUUGUGACAAGGCUGCCCUUGAUAGUUCACCGCUUUUUCCAUCUGCUCAAUAGAUAAAGGUAUCUUUUUCAUUUCUAUGUGUUUAUUCUGAGUUUAAGAAUGAGGUAACUAAGUUAAUUUUAUCUGCAGCAGUAUUAUUUGGGUUGGAGAUUUGUGCUGUAGGUGCUUCCUAUGUUCUUUUUUAAUAUGCAUCUUCUAUUUUCCUUCCAUCAAAAAUAAAUGCAACAAGUGCUUAAAUGCUUUUAUAGAUUCUAGAUGAAGAGUGUCCUGGGCAACACACAAUGUUAGUUAAAUGCAGAGGAAGGAAGAAUAACAAAGAUCUGAUCACUUGCCAGGAAUAAUUCACAUAAACCCUGUUUACAGUACUUCUGAUUGAUGUUUGCAAGCCUCUAUGUGAAAGAUUCUGCUUUUGGAAAUGUUUUCAGACUGGCUGUAUUUUAUUUGAAAUAUUAGAAUUUGUGUACUGGAAAUAAUAUUUAUUAUUUGUUAUUUGGUGUUCCUGUGUUGUUAUUGUACUGUUGGAAAUGUUUGUGAUUGCAGAAGUAAUCAAAAACAUUUCCUCUAGCUUGUGUGACCAGUCCCAGGAGCGUGGAUGCUGACUUCUUAUCAGUUAAACUACCUGUGAACUUGGAAUUAUUUGUGUCAGUGAAGUCUGUGCAACAUAUGGCCUGACACAUGUGCUCACAAAGGGGUUUGUUUGGUUUAUUGCACUACAGUUUCAUUGCAUGCUGAUCAGCAGGGACUGGCGGGCAUUACAGACCAGUGGGGUAGGUGGCAGUAGCAUCUUGCUGGGAAGCGUGGGGAGAUGGUACUGAAAAAGCAGGUUUAGACAGUAAGACAACAGAAAACUGAAAAGAACUGUGUUCUGUGGCUCUGAAUUGGAAAUGAAGUGCGUGUUAUAGAGAAGUUAAAGGGGUUUUGGCAUGACACAAGGGUGGCAAAAUGAUUUACAACAGGGUAUAGAUCAGAUGGCAGAUUUUAAGUACAAGAAGGGAAACACAAACUACUCAAACUGGUGUUGGAACCUUACUCCGUAAGUGUGCUCUCUGAUCUGGGGACUCCAGUCUGCAUGCAAGAGCAGGAAGGGGUGUAUUCUGAUUUAUGCCAUUGAUAGGCUUUGUGCCUCUCAGGGGUCAAACCCAGAGCACUGAGGAAAAGUAUAGAAUCAAGGAAUCCUGGAAUGGUUUGUUUUGGAUGGGACCUUAGAGAUCUUAUAGUUCCAACCCCUUUGCCAUGGGCAGGGACACCUCCCACCA